GAACUAUGAAGAAAAGAGGAAGACAAAAAAGCUCUAAGAUCUUCUCUCUCUCUCUCUCUCUCUCUCUCUCUCUUUGGGUGCGAUCCCGUCUCUCUCUCUAUCUCAAUCAUUGUGAAAUCCUUUGGUGAGUACAGAGAAAGAGGAAUUAAGGCAAAUACCUUGAAGAAUUGCACAAGAUAAUUCAUGCUGUCAUCUGUGCUGAUCUCAUAGUGAAGAAAUCUUAUAAGGAACCACCCCAGGACACUAUAAACGUUUAUGGUUCAACUUAAAGAAGCUCACAUAUGAAGAAAGGAAGAACCAUUUAAUUGAAGGAUUGACUAAAUUUGGGCGGUGGCAUAAAUUUUCAAAGAUAAUGCACAUGCCGUAUAGAGAAUCCUGGCUUUCCUUGUAUCCAUGCAAUUGCAGCAUGUAAGCAUCGACAUAUUUCUCCAUAUAUCCUUUGCUCAACGCAUUACUCAGUUGACUCACUCCGUGAUGCAUAUUCAGAAACCAUAUAUCCACUUGGAGAUAAAUGUUAGUGGCAUGCUCUAGAUGAUGCCAUAAACCAGCUUGUACUUCCACCUAAGAUUGGCAAACAGUCAGGAAGACCAAGAAAGAAGAGGAUUCAAUCAAGGAAAGGAGUGUCAUCAAUAUAGAUGCGGGAGAUACAAACAAAUUGGUCACAGCAACCGAUCAUGCUCAGCCGCCAUACCUCUUAAUAGCACUGCCAACACACAGCACCAUUCAACUGAAGGACCAUAAAUCGUUCUACGCUAUAUUAAGACAAUGGGGGCAUGUUAUGUGGUAUGUGUGUGUUAUGCAAUGUAGUAAGAAAUGCAGUUAGUAGCUCAACUGUGUAACGUGUGUUUUGGCAUAAUAGACGUUGGUUUUAUGUGUUGUUUGGUUGGAAAAGUCAUCUGUCAUAUUGUGUUGAUAAAAUAUAAAUGACCCUAAAAAGAAAAAAAAACCCCAAAAGUUUGGAAAAAGUUCUCAA